rnacentral:rRNA from 1 species
GAUGAACGCUGGCGGCGUGCCUAAUACAUGCAAGUCGAGCGAACAGACGAGGAGCUUGCUCCUCUGACGUUAUCGGCGGACGGGUGAGUAACACGUGGAUAACCUACCUAUAAGACUGGGAUAACUUCGGGAAACCGGAGCUAAUACCGGAUAAUAUAUUGAACCGCAUGGUUCAAUAGUGAAAUACGGUUUUUCUGUCACUUAUAGAUGGAUCCGCGCCGCAUUAGCUAGUUGGUAAGGUAACGGCUUACCAAGGCAACGAUGCGUAGCCGACCUGAGAGGGUGAUCGGCCACACUGGAACUGAGACACGGUCCAGACUCCUACGGGAGGAAGCAGUAGGGAAUCUUCCGCAAUGGGGGAGAGCCUGACGGAGCAAAGCCGCGGGAGUGAUGAAGGUCUUAGGAUCGUAAAACUAUGUAAUUAGGGAAGAAGAAAUGUGUAAGUAACUAUGAACGUAUUGACGGUACCGAAUCAGAAAGCCACGGCUAACUACGUG